rnacentral:rRNA from 1 species
GAUGAACGCUAGCGGCAGGCCUAAUACAUGCAAGUCGAACGGUGUCUUCGGACAUAGUGGCGCACGGGUGCGUAACACGUAUGCAACCUACCUUACAUUGGGGGAUAGCCUUUCGAAGGGGAGAUUAAUACCGCAUAAGACAGUAGCUGGGCAUCCAGCAGCAGUUAAAGAUUUAUCGAUGUAAGCUGGGCAUGCGUCCAAUUAGCUAGUUGGUGAGGUAACGGCUCACCAAGGCAAUGAUUGGUAGGGGAACUGAGAGGUCAAUCCCCCACACUGGCACUGAGAUACGGGCCAGACUCCUACGGGAGGCAGCAGUAGGGAAUAUCGGGCAAUGGACGCAAGUCUGACCCAGCCAUGCCGCGUGCAGGAUGAAGGCGUUAUGCGUUGUAAACUGCUUUUAUACAGGAAGAAACGACUCUUGCGAGAGGCAUUGACGGUACUGUAUGAAUAAGCACCGGCUAACUCCGUGCCAGCAGCCGCCGUAACAC